UACGGAGGGUGCAAGCGUUGCUCGGAAUCACUGGGCGUAAAGCGACCGCAGGCGGCCUGACAAGUCGGAUGUGAAAGCCCUGGGCUCAACUCAGGAACUGCAUUCGAAACUGGGAGACUUGAGUGCAGGAGAGAAGAGUGGAAUUCCACGUGUAGCAGUGAAAUGCGUAGAGAUGUGGAGGAAUACCGAUGGCGAAGGCAGCCCCCUGGGCCAAUACUGACGCUCAUGCACGAAAGCGUGGGGAGCAAACAGG
rnacentral:rRNA from 1 species